rnacentral:rRNA from 1 species
UACGUAGGGGCUAGCGUUAUCCGGAAUUACUGGGCGUAAAGGGUGCGUAGGUGGUUUCUUAAGUCAGAGGUGAAAGGCUACGGCUCAACCGUAGUAAGCCUUUGAAACUGGGAAACUUGAGUGCAGGAGAGGUUAUCGGAAUUCCCGGUGUAGCGGUGAAAUGCGUAGAGAUCGGGAGGAACACCAGUGGCGAAGGCGGGUAACUGGACUGCAACUGACGCUGAGGCGCGAAAGUGUGGGAAGCAAACAGGAUUAGAUACCCCCCGUAGUCCCUGAGCGGGCUGGCAA